AGCGGCGGACGGGUGAGUAACGCGUGGGUAACCUGCCUCAUACAGGGGGAUAACAGUUGGAAACGGCUGCUAAUACCGCAUAAGCGCACAGUACCGCAUGGUACCGUGUGAAAAACUCCGGUGGUAUGAGAUGGACCCGCGUCUGAUUAGGUAGUUGGUGGGGUAACGGCCUACCGAGCCGACGAUCAGUAGCCGACCUGAGAGGGUGACCGGCCACAUUGGGACUGAGACAUGGCCCAA
rnacentral:rRNA from 1 species